GCAAGGCCUUGCGCUCUUUGAGCGGCCGAUGUCAGAUUAGCUAGUUGGUGAGGUAACGGCUUACCAAGGCGACGAUCUGUAGCGGGUCUGAGAGGAUGAUCCGCCACACUGGAACUGAGACACGGUCCAGACUCCUACGGGAGGCAGCAGUGGGGAAUUUUGGACAAUGGGGGCAACCCUGAUCCAGCCAUGCCGCGUGAGUGAAGAAGGCCUUCGGGUUGUAAAGCUCUUUCGGCCGGGAAGAAAUCGCAUGGGCCAAUACCCUGUGUGGAUGACGGUACCGGAAUAAGAAGCACCGGCUAACUACGUGCCAGCAGCCGCGGUAAUACGUAGGGUGCGAGCGUUAAUCGGAAUUACUGGGCGUAAAGCGUGCGCAGGCGGUUUUGUAAGACAGGCGUGAAAUCCCCGGGCUCAACCUGGGAACUGCGUUUGUGACUGCAAGGCUAGAGUACGGCAGAGGGGGGUGGAAUUCCACGUGUAGCAGUGAAAUGCGUAGAGAUGUGGAGGAACACCAAUGGCGAAGGCAGCCCCCUGGGUCGAUACUGACGCUCAUGCACGAAAGCGUGGGUAGCAAACAGGAUUAGAUACCCUGGUAGUCCACGCCCUAAACUAUGUCAACUAGGUGUUGGGUGGGUAAAACCAUUUAGUACCGUAGCUAACGCGUGAAGUUGACCGCCUGGGGAGUACGGCCGCAAGGUUAAAACUCAAAGGAAUUGACGGGGACCCGCACAAGCGGUGGAUGAUGUGGAUUAAUUCGAUGCAACGCGAAAAACCUUACCUACCCUUGACAUGCCAGGAACUUGCCAGAGAUGGCUUGGUGCCCGAAAGGGAGCCUGGACACAGGUGCUGCAUGGCUGUCGUCAGCUCGCGUCGUGAGAUGUUGGGUUAAGUCCCGCAACGAGCGCAACCCUUGUCGUUAAUUGCCAUCAUUUAGUUGGGCGCUUUAGCGAGACUGCCGGUGACAAACCGGAGGAAGGUGGGGAUGACGUCAAGUCCUCAUGGCCCUUAUGGGUAGGGCUUCACACGUCAUACAAUGGUCGGUACAGAGGGUCGCCAAGCCGCGAGGUGGAGCCAAUCCCAGAAAGCCGAUCGUAGUCCGGAUUGCAGGCUGCAACUCGCCUGCAUGAAGUCGGAAUCGCUAGUAAUCGUGGAUCAGCAUGUCACGGUGAAUACGUUCCCGGGUCUUGUACACACCGCCCGUCACACCAUGGGAGCGGGUUCCGCCAGAAGUAGGUAGCCUAACCGCAAGGAGGGCGCUUACCACGGCGG
rnacentral:rRNA from 1 species